CAGGGAGUAGUUUAAAGUAAGAAUAUCAGCUUUGGGAGUUGAAGGUGGAAUGGAU
rnacentral:tRNA from 1 species